UCCAGCUCCAAUAGCGUAUAUAAAAGUUGUUGCGGUUAAAAAGCUCGUAGUUGGAUCUCGGCAGGUAGGGGGCGGAUCUAUCCUGUAGACUCUGCCCCAUUUACCUGUGUUUUUGACGGAGGUCUCAGAGUGCUCUUUAUCGGGUGUUCUGGAGCACCGUCAGGUUUACUUUGAAAAAAUUAGAGUGCUCAAAGCAGGCUAUCAUGCUUGAAUAUUUGUGCAUGGAAUAAUGGAAUAGGAAGUCGUUUCUAUUUUGUUGGUUUUCGGAAAUUGACUUAAUGAUUAAUAGGGACAGCCGGGGGCACUAGUAUUCAGACGACAGAGGUGAAAUUCUUGGACCGUCUGAAGACUAACUACUGCGAAAGCAUUUGCCAAGAGUGUUUUCAUUAAUCAAGAACGAAAGUUAGAGGUUCGAAGGCGAUCAGAUACCGCCCUAGUUCUAACCAUAAACGAUGCCAGCUAGCGAUCCGUAGCUGUUUUUUAUGUAGGCUCUACGGGAAGCUUCCGGGAAACCAAAGCUUGUGGGUUCCGGGGGAAGUAUGGUUGCAAAGCUGAAACUUAAAGGAAUUGACGGAAGGGCACCACCAGGAGUGGAGCCUGCGGCUUAAUUUGACUCAACACGGGAAAUCUCACCAGGCCCGGACACUGGAAGGAUUGACAGAUUGAGAGCUCUUUCUCGAUUCAGUGGGUGGUGGUGCAUGGCCGUUCUUAGUUGGUGGAGUGAUUUGUCUGGUUAAUUCCGAUAACGAACGAGACUCUGUCCUGCUAAAUAGUUUCAAUGUCUUUUUUGCAUUGAAAAUUCUUCUUAGAGGGACUGGCAGCGUUUAGCUGCACGAGAUUGAGCAAUAACAGGUCUGUGAUGCCCUUAGAUGUUCUGGGCUGCACACGCGCUACACUGAAGGAAUCAGCGUGUAUUCCCUUCCCGAGAGGGACGGGUAACCCGCUGAACCUCCUUCGUGGUAGGGAUCGGAGCUUGCAAUUAUUCUCCGUGAACCAGGAAUUCCCAGUACGCGCCAGUCAAAAGCUGGCGUGGAUUACGUCCCUGCCCUUUGUA
rnacentral:rRNA from 1 species